UAUAGUGGAGCUCCUGUACCUAAAUAUAAACAGUACUGGCACCCAAAAUGAGUAGACCUACCGGCACCUAUUUCAGCUCAAGUCAAGCACUGCAGGUAUUGUUGUGGCAAAGAUGCGUCCGUAGCAGAUUAGCCAGCUUUAUAUGGAUAAUAUUAAUGCAGGUAUGCUACUCUGUUUUUGCCAGGCAAAACCAUAGAAAAUUAAACAAGCGCUUUCUGGUCACYGAUGUGGAUAUGUGCACCCGCUUUUGCGCGCUAAUGCUGAUGAUUGGUCAACAGUCAAGACGGGAAACUUUUUGUUUCUGAAGCACAAAUUAGAUGUUUUUAAAAUAAGAAUUUUGUGCAAUGCCCUAGACCUACAUUAGUAUCCACAUCAUAUAACCAAAUCUACAAAUAUAAAAUACAAAUGGUAAUCUAGCCUAUACUGUAUGUAGCCUAUUCAAAUAUGUAUCAAAAUAAUUAUAGGCCUACUCGCAACCUCCCAAAACCUUCACUGCUCUAGCUCUCAACCUGUGUUGAUUGACAGUUUGCUGGUCCAAUCAGAGGGUUGAGUGUGUGUUUCACUAGCCAGUCUGUUUUGUUUGCAAGUGCGAUACUGUCUCUGGGUGCCAGGAGAGUAAUCCACGGAGACUCCGUGCCACAAAAGGAUUGACAAAACGUUACAAAAUCUGKUCAGAUUAAUUUCAAGUCAAAGUGGAGUCUUGAGGCGUCAAGCCUGACUUCAGUCAGACUCCAGUCCAUGUUAUGUGACUCGAGUCCACAUCUGAUUAUUACACGUCCAUUUACCACUAUGAAUAUUCUGAUGUGAAUCAAAAAUAUGCAUUCUCAGAGUUCUGUCACGCUACCAAGUGAUUCGUACAUUUGUAGAAAGACGUUCGCAAGUAAAAUGGUUUGAGCAGAUCUGGAGGACCUUUUUACUCCUGGCCAAUCAGCUAAAACCACAGCCGCCUAUUGCUCCAACCAUUGGCUGGAUUGUUCCAUCAGUCAAAUCUCAGGAAUUAGCUUGAAGAGGAAAAGAGAAGUCAUUUCUACAAAGUAACAACGUUACUUAAUCCUCGGCCUGAAGUACUAGAAUAAAACAAUCUACUUGAAGGAGCCUGGUGGAGAUACAGUAGAUACAACCACACUCCAAGGCAGGAGUCCUGCAGGCCAUUUCCCUGCAUCCAGGUUUAGACCUGCUACCAGCAGGAACAUGGAGCACUCCAUGUCAGUGUCAGUGCUACAGAGAGAAUAUUCCAAGGACCACCAAAGCCUUCUGACCAACAACCUGCAAUCUCUCCAGAGUAGAGAAGUGAGUCUGYUGGGCCAUGGAACUCUAGAGCAGCACGUGUAAAAACCUGCCACCCUGUUGUCAGCCAUCAGCAGACAGUUAGUUCUCUGAGGAAGGAUGCAACUGUCAAGGCUUUUCAAUGACCAAAUGUAGGGGGGAGGGGGUCGAUCACCAAACACAAUAAAGUUUUGUAGUUUUGUCUACUCAUGUUCAUUUUUUWAAAUAAAAACAAUGUUUAAUCCAUAUAAUUGUAUUUUUAAAUGUUGCGAUAUGCCUGGCUGGGCCUGCUGCUUUUCACAGCGCACGCUGCCCAAAUUGCGGGCCCUUCCGACUGUAGGCUAUGUGAUUAUUUUUUUUUUU